AAUUGGUCCAAAGGUAAGAGUUAUCUCCAUUGAUUAUUCAGUCAGUUACAGAUCAAACUCCUUGUUCUACUUUUUUCUCCCUUCUUACUACUGUACUUGACUAGUCUUGA
ensembl:misc_RNA Y_RNA Y RNA